rnacentral:rRNA from 1 species
UACGGAGGGGGCUAGCGUUGUUCGGAAUUACUGGGCGUAAAGCGCACGUAGGCGGCUUUGUAAGUUAGAGGUGAAAGCCCGGAGCUCAACUUCGGAAUUGCCUUUAAGACUGCAUCGCUUGAAUCAUGGAGAGGUCAGUGGAAUUCCGAGUGUAGAGGUGAAAUUCGUAGAUAUUCGGAAGAACACCAGUGGCGAAGGCGGCCCCCUGGCACGAUACUGACGCUCAGGUGCGAAAGCGUGGGGAGCAAACAGG